UUACUUAGUGGAUAAUUACUGUGAUAGCAAGUUAUGACGGUGGCUACAACUUGAAAGUGGUGAUGCUUAUGGUCUUACUGUAAGUUAUUCAUAUCCUAAGAGAGGAGUAGUAUUUUUGUCUAUUUCAGAUGAUUUGAAUUUAAUGCUAACAUUCGGAAUUUUUUUAAUUUCCCUGUUAACAUAU
rnacentral:sRNA from 1 species